UACAUGGGGUGCAAACGUUGCUCGGAAUUAUUGGGCGUAAAGCGCACGGAGGCGGUUCGUUAAGUCGGAUGUGAAAGCCCUCGGCUCAACUGAGGAAGUGCACCCGAAACUGGCGAGCUUGAGUACGAAAGAGGAUCGCGGAAUUCCCGGUGUAGAGGUGAAAUUCGUAGAUAUCGGGAGGAACACCGGUGGCGAAGGCGGCGAUCUGGGUCGAUACUGACGCUGAGGUGCGAAAGCGUGGGGAGCAAACAGG
rnacentral:rRNA from 1 species